CGACGGAAUCUAAGCACCGUCAUAAAUCCGUCGAGAAAUUUUAAUUUUUUAAAAUAUUAUUUUUAUUUUUUAUUUGCCCGUCGUUAAUCUGUCGACAAUUAUUAAAUUUAAUUAAAAAUUUAAGGGCCCGUCGAGAAUCCGUCGACAUAUAUAAAUUAAAAAUAAUUAUUUUUAUUAUUUCGGAGGGCCGUCGAGAAUCCGUCGAGAAAUUAAGUUUUCUGAUAUUAGAUCCUCUUCCUCAAAAUCAGUUGUUCUAAAUUGACCCCGCGCUAGCUGCUCCGCCCCCUGCCCCGUCAGCUGCCUCUCCUCGCCGCCGCGCCGCCGGAGUCGCUCUACACGAGCAGGUUCUCCGCUGCUCCGUUUCGUUUCUCUGAAUCAGUUGCCCCGUUCCGUUUCUAUGAAUCAGUUGCCCUAAAUCAGUUCUCUGAUUAUUUUAAUUGACGUCGGCCCCUGCUCCGUUCGCCGCGCCGUCAGCCGGAGUCCCCUGCUGCUGUCUGCCGCCGCUUCUCUCCCCUGCCGGAUCUCCUCUCUCUCUCUCUCUCUCUCAAAUUUGAAAGUUUAUGCCAAAUUCGAGUUGUCGUUCACCUGCCAGAAUCGCCACAUUCUGAUUCUCCUUUCCUUCAACAGCGGAAAAGAGAGUGAGUUUGGGCAGGAAGAUGAUUAUUUACUGUCUAACCCGUAUCACUUGAGGUAUGCUGCUUAAGGAUCACAAUUCAAGUGUAGGGAUGGAUUACAUAGAGAUGAAGCGACGGAGCAGCUUCACGAGAAGGAUCCUCUUGGCCGUUGUUGUUUCCGCGCUUUUGAUCUUCAUGGUUAAAGGCCCUUCUAGUAUUAGUGGCUCUUCAAAGGACAAUCUCUCUCGUGGAAACAUGGGAGCCGUUAGAAUCCUUCAAGGACUCUAUCCGGAGCCGGGGAGACUUCAGUUCAUAUAUGCUGAUCUAGGAGAUGCAGCUGCUGUAUCCCUUUAGAGCUUCUCCGUAUCUUCGACUAAUUAGCACGUUGUCUAAGUUGUUCCUUAAGUCUUGAUAUCAGGUAGACAAGAUAUUCUCUGAGAAUGCAUUUGAUGCUGUUAUUGCAUAGUCCAUGUCUUAGCUACGAUUUUCCGUUGUUGAAGCUUGGAGUUUUCUCGUCCCAAGUGUUUCAGGAGUCUCCAAGAGCAAAAAUCUGGAAGAGGAAACAUUCCCCAAUUUACGAAAUGGAGAAACACUGCAACAUCGAAAUCUCCGCACAAAUUUCUCGAGUGUCUUCUAGAAAAAAUGGUUUCAUGCCCUUGAUUAGUAUGUUGUAGUAGUAUUCGAGGGAAGCUGGGAGAUGGUGUCGUGGUGGCAGUGAAAUGACUAAAAGACUUGAUGGGAACUACAGGGGAAUCACAGUUCAGAAUUGAGCUGGAGAUGAUCAGUCUAGCAGUCCAUCGCAAUCUGCUUCGUAUAAUAGGCUACUGCGCCACCCCAAAUGAGAGGCUUCUUGUGUAUCCUUAUAUGUCUAAUGGGAGUGUGGCGGCAAGACUUAGAGGGGAACCGACUCUAGAUUGGACGACGAGGAAGAAGAUUGCAGUGGGAGCUACAAGGGGGCUGCUGUAUCUCCAUGAUCACUGUGAUCCCAAGAUAAUCCACAGGAAUGUAAAGGCUGCAAACGUGCUGCUAGAUGAGCACUAUGAGGCCGUUGUGGGUGAUUUCGGGCUUGCAAAGCUGCUGGAUCAUGGCGAAUCCCAUGUGACCACAACAGUUAUGUUGUUUGAAUUUAUGUUGUUACUAUGGAGUUAGGAUUUAUGAUACUUGAUAGUUAACUUAAUUUAAAUUUGUAGGUAUAUUGAAUUUGGAUGUUUAUUACAUUAAGUAUGUUUGAAUUUGGAUCUUUAUUAUAAGUAUAUUUGAAUUUGAAUA